GACGUAGGGGGCGAGCGUUGUCCGGAAUUACUGGGCGUAAAGAGCACGUAGGCGGGAAUUUAAGUCAGAUGUGAAAGACCGGGGCUCAACCCCGGGGUGGCAUUUGAAACUGAAUUUCUUGAGGGCAGGAGAGGAAAGCAGAAUUCCUGGUGUAGCGGUGAAAUGCGUAGAAAUCAGGAGGAAUACCAGUGGCGAAGGCGGCUUUCUGGACUGUCCCUGACGCUGAGGUGCGAAAGCGUGGGUAGCAAACAGG
rnacentral:rRNA from 1 species